rnacentral:rRNA from 1 species
GAUGAACGCUGGCGGCGUGCCUAAUACAUGCAAGUCGAGCGAACGGACGAGAAGCUUGCUUCUCUGAUGUUAGCGGCGGACGGGUGAGUAACACGUGGAUAACCUACCUAUAAGACUGGGAUAACUUCGGGAAACCGGAGCUAAUACCGGAUAAUAUUUUGAACCGCAUGGUUCAAAAGUGAAAGACGGUCUUGCUGUCACUUAUAGAUGGAUCCGCGCUGCAUUAGCUAGUUGGUAAGGUAACGGCUUACCAAGGCAACGAUGCAUAGCCGACCUGAGAGGGUGAUCGGCCACACUGGAACUGAGACACGGUCCAGACUCCUACGGGAGGCAGCAGUAGGGAAUCUUCCGCAAUGGGCGAAAGCCUGACGGAGCAACGCCGCGUGAGUGAUGAAGGUCUUCGGAUCGUAAAACUCUGUUAUUAGGGAAGAACAUAUGUGUAAGUAACUGUGCACAUCUUGACGGUACCUAAUCAGAAAGCCACGGCUAACUACGUGCCAGCAGCCGCGGUAAUACGUAGGUGGCAAGCGUUAUCCGGAAUUAUUGGGCGUAAAGCGCGCGUAGGCGGUUUUUUAAGUCUGAUGUGAAAGCCCACGGCUCAACCGUGGAGGGUCAUUGGAAACUGGAAAACUUGAGUGCAGAAGAGGAAAGUGGAAUUCCAUGUGUAGCGGUGAAAUGCGCAGAGAUAUGGAGGAACACCAGUGGCGAAGGCGACUUUCUGGUCUGUAACUGACGCUGAUGUGCGAAAGCGUGGGGAUCGAACAGGAUUAGAUCCCGUGGUAGUCCACGCCGUAAACGAUGAGUGCUAAGUGUUAGGGGGUUUCCGCCCCUUAGUGCUGCAGCUAACGCAUUAAGCACUCCGCCUGGGGAGUACGACCGCAAGGUUGAAACUCAAAGGAAUUGACGGGGACCCGCACAAGCGGUGGAGCAUGUGGUUUAAUUCGAAGCAACGCGAAGAACCUUACCAAAUCUUGACAUCCUUUGACAACUCUAGAGAUAGAGCCUUCCCCUUCGGGGGACAAAGUGACAGGUGGUGCAUGGUUGUCGUCAGCUCGUGUCGUGAGAUGUUGGGUUAAGUCCCGCAACGAGCGCAACCCUUAAGCUUAGUUGCCAUCAUUAAGUUGGGCACUCUAAGUUGACUGCCGGUGACAAACCGGAGGAAGGUGGGGAUGACGUCAAAUCAUCAUGCCCCUUAUGAUUUGGGCUACACACGUGCUACAAUGGACAAUACAAAGGGCAGCGAAACCGCGAGGUCAAGCAAAUCCCAUAAAGUUGUUCUCAGUUCGGAUUGUAGUCUGCAACUCGACUACAUGAAGCUGGAAUCGCUAGUAAUCGUAGAUCAGCAUGCUACGGUGAAUACGUUCCCGGGUCU